rnacentral:rRNA from 1 species
UUUCUCCGCCGGCGACCGGCGCGCGGGUGAGUAACACGUAUGCAACCUGCCCCUGUCAGGGGGACAACCCGCCGAAAGGCGGGCUAAACCCGCGUACAUGCCACCGGGGCAUCCCGGAGGCAGGAAAAGGCUUCGGCCGGACAGGGAUGGGCAUGCGGCGCAUUAGGCAGUAGGCGGGGUAACGGCCCACCUAACCGACGAUGCGUAGGGGUUCUGAGAGGAAGGUCCCCCACACUGGUACUGAGACACGGACCAGACUCCUACGGAAGGCAGCAG